AGCGGGUGGAGCAUGUGGUUUAAUUCGAAGCAACGCGCAGAACCUUACCAGCCCUUGACAUGCCCGGCUAGCUACAGAGAUGUAGUGUUCCCUUCGGGGACCGGGACACAGGUGCUGCAUGGCUGUCGUCAGCUCGUGUCGUGAGAUGUUGGGUUAAGUCCCGCAACGAGCGCAACCCUCGCCCUUAGUUGCCAGCAUUCAGUUGGGCACUCUAAGGGGACUGCCGGUGAUAAGCCGAGAGGAAGGUGGGGAUGACGUCAAGUCCUCAUGGCCCUUACGGGCUGGGCUACACACGUGCUACAAUGGUGGUGACAGUGGGCAGCGAGACAGCGAUGUCGAGCUAAUCUCCAAAAGCCAUCUCAGUUCGGAUUGCACUCUGCAACUCGAGUGCAUGAAGUUGGAAUCGCUAGUAAUCGCGGAUCAGCAUGCCGCGGUGAAUACGUUCCCGGGCCUUGUACACACCGCCCGUCACACCAUGGGAGUUGGUUUUACCCGAAGGUAGUGUGCUAACCGCAAGGAGGCAGCUAACCACGGUAGGGUCAGCGACUGGGGUGAAGUCGUAACAAGGUAGCCGUAGGGGAACCUGCGGCUGGAUCACCUCCUUUCUAAGGAAGCUGUGGAAUUGGUAAGACGACCUUCCGACAAGUCUUUGACUUGUCUCGAGGUAUGAACCUUCCCGUGCUUUUUAGAACAUAGAUGGCACCAGUCAGGUGACCAUCGCAACGCAAUACGCCGUAGACAUGCUAGCAUGCACGGUAUGGCGAGCUUUCGCCGUCCACGUUUCUCUUUCUUCAUGAAGACAAAAAACCGCGCUUGUCCAGUUGAGGCUGGGCCGGUUCCCCGAAUGGGCCCGUAGCUCAGUUGGUUAGAGCACACGCUUGAUAAGCGUGGGGUCGGAAGUUCAAGUCUUCCCGGGCCCACCAUUUGCGAUUGCGAAUGGGGGUUAGGGAAUUGAUUGGGAUGGCUGGCGCGGAUUGUUGCCGAACUUCAGUUCUGACGAAUUGGAGUGAUCGAGCUGGAGGGGCUGUAGCUCAGCUGGGAGAGCACCUGCUUUGCAAGCAGGGGGUCAGCGGUUCGAUCCCGCUCAGCUCCACCAAAUCGAUUGGUGUUGAGACUGAAUGGUUUUGAUUGGCAUUUGUCUUCUGGAGAAAAACAAGGUUUGCAUCGGCUUUUGGCGGAUGCGUGUUCUGCAUAUAUCGUGAAGAGAAGAUUGAUCUGGAGGCUUCCAGGUGUCGGGUUUUGCCCUUUUGGGUUUGAUCUGGCGUCCGAGCCCAGUUCUGAUGAAACCAUGGAUGGCCUAGCCGGCCGGAUAUGGUGGAGGGACUGGAGGUAGGAAGGAAGCUUGUCGCUCUGAGUUGAUCAUUGUUGUCGCUCCUUCGGGAUGGCUCUGAUGAUGGCUUGAUGACCGUUGCCUGACCGCGCGGUCCCGGAUUUAAUCUCGAGAAGCUGGUCUUAAAGAUAGACUGCAAGCGAGCUGCUCGGCGUAGCUCCAAUAAAGCAGAUCUAUCGAACACGUCGAUGGCAUUGUUGGAUUGACUGGGUUGUAAAAGGUAACCCGGUCUGUUGCCGUUUCCUUCGGAAACGAGCGGCGAGAUGAUGAGCAUUGGCAAUGAGAACGAUUAAGUGUCGUAAGGGCAUUUGGUGGAUGCCUUGGCAUGCACAGGCGAUGAAGGACGUGAUACGCUGCGAAAAGCCGUGGGAGCUGCGAAUAAG
rnacentral:sRNA from 1 species